GUAUAGCUUAGUGGUAGAGUGCAUGUUUUGCAUGCAGGAGGUCCUGGGUUCAAGCCCCAGUAC
rnacentral:tRNA from 1 species